rnacentral:rRNA from 1 species
UAGGGAAUCUUCCACAAUGGACGCAAGUCUGAUGGAGCAACGCCGCGUGAGUGAAGAAGGUUUUCGGAUCGUAAAGCUCUGUUGUUGGUGAAGAAGGAUAGAGGCAGUAACUGGUCUUUAUUUGACGGUAAUCAACCAGAAAGUCACGGCUAACUACGUGCCAGCAGCCGCGGUAAUACGUAGGUGGCAAGCGUUGUCCGGAUUUAUUGGGCGUAAAGCGAGCGCAGGCGGAAUGAUAAGUCUGAUGUGAAAGCCCACGGCUCAACCGUGGAACUGCAUCGGAAACUGUCAUUCUUGAGUGCAGAAGAGGAGAGUGGAACUCCAUGUGUAGCGGUGGAAUGCGUAGAUAUAUGGAAGAACACCAGCGGCGAAGGCGGCUCUCUGGUCUGCAAACUGACGCUGAGGCUCGAAAGCAUGGGUAGC